GCGCUAUCAGAUGAGCCUAGGUCGGAUUAGCUAGUUGGUGGGGUAAUGGCUCACCAAGGCGACGAUCCGUAACUGGUCUGAGAGGAUGAUCAGUCACACUGGAACUGAGACACGGUCCAGACUCCUACGGGAGGCAGCAGUGGGGAAUAUUGGACAAUGGGCGAAAGCCUGAUCCAGCCAUGCCGCGUGUGUGAAGAAGGUCUUCGGAUUGUAAAGCACUUUAAGUUGGGAGGAAGGGCAGUUGCCUAAUACGUAACUGUUUUGACGUUACCGACAGAAUAAGCACCGGCUAACUCUGUGCCAGCAGCCGCGGUAAUACAGAGGGUGCAAGCGUUAAUCGGAAUUACUGGGCGUAAAGCGCGCGUAGGUGGUUUGUUAAGUUGGAUGUGAAAUCCCCGGGCUCAACCUGGGAACUGCAUUCAAAACUGACUGACUAGAGUAUGGUAGAGGGUGGUGGAAUUUCCUGUGUAGCGGUGAAAUGCGUAGAUAUAGGAAGGAACACCAG
rnacentral:rRNA from 1 species